rnacentral:rRNA from 1 species
GAUGAACGCUGGCGGCGUGCCUAAUACAUGCAAGUCGAGCGAACAGAUGAGGAGCUUGCUCCUCUGACGUUAGCGGCGGACGGGUGAGUAACACGUGGAUAACCUCCCUAUAAGACUGGGAUAACUUCGGGAAACCGGAUCUAAUACCGUAUAAUCUAUUGAACCGCAUGGUUCAAUAGUGAAAGACGGUUUUGCUGUCACUUAUAGAUGGAUCCGCUCCGCAUUAGCGAGGUGGUAGGGUGACGGCUUACCAAGGCUAUGAUGGGUAGCCGGCCUGGGAGGGGGACAGGGAACAUAGGGACGGAGAUACGGCCCAGACUGCUACGGGAGGCAGCAGUGGGGAAAAUUGCACAAUGGGGGCAAGACUGAUGCAGCGACGCCGAGUGAGGGAUGGAGGCCUUAGGGUUGUGAACCUCUUUCGCUAAUGGUCAAGCCGCAACAAUGGUUGUGGUGAGGGUAGUGGGUAAAGAAGCGCCGGCUAACUACGUG